AUGGAGGCGAAGAAGCUGAAGGGGGCGGCCACCAUGGCCGCGCUGUGCGUGCUCCUCCUCCUGGCGCUGCUGCCCAGGGAGGCGGCCGCCAAGUCGGAGUUCUGCAAGUGCUUCGAUGACUGCUACCCCGGGUGCGUGAGCGGCAACGUGCCGGGCUACGCCUGCGAUGUGUUCUGCGCCAACAAGUGCAGCCCCAACACCAACCACCCCGGCUAUGGCGUCGGCGUCGGCACCUGCAGGAUGGCCUGCAAGAUACAGAUCUGCGGCCACUCAGCGGCGGCGCCGACCGAUGCAGCUGACGCCGACGUCUGCAUGCAGAACUGCAACAGGAAGCUGAGCCAGAUGGCCCAGACUGAUUAA
rnacentral:rRNA from 1 species